CCUACGGGAGGCAGCAGUGAGGAAUAUUGGUCAAUGGGCGAGAGCCUGAACCAGCCAAGUCGCGUGAGGGAGUACUGCCCUAUGGGUUGUAAACCUCUUUUGUCGGGGAGCAAAAGCCGGACGUGUCCGGCUGUGAGAGUACCCGAAGAAACAGCAUCGGCUAACUCCGUGCCAGCAGCCGCGGUAAUACGGGGGAUUCGAGCGUUAUCCGGAUUUAUUGGGUUUAAAGGGUGCGCAGGCGGUGUUUUAAGUCAGCGGUAAAAUCGGGGGGCUCAACCCCAUCCAGCCGUUGAAACUGGGGAUCUAGAGUGUUCGAGAGGUAUGCGGAAUGCGUGGUGUAGCGGUGAAAUGCAUAGAUAUCACGCAGAACCCCGAUUGCGAAGGCAGCAUACCGGUGCACAACUGACGCUCAGGCACGAAAGCGUGGGUAUCGAACAGGAUUAGAUACCCUUGUAGUC
rnacentral:rRNA from 1 species